rnacentral:snRNA from 1 species
AUGCUCUGGUUUCUUGUCCAAACAAAUAAAUCUUUCACUUUUUACUAAAGAUUCCCAUGGAGAGGGACAGUUGUGAGUUCGUAACCAAACUUUUUAAGGCUUUGCUUAGGCAGGGCU